GAUGAAGAACGUAGCGAAAUGCGAUAAGUAAUGUGAAUUGCAGAAUUCCGUGAAUCAUCGAAUCUUUGAACGCACAUUGCGCCCUCUGGUAUUCCGGGGGGCAUGCCUGUCCGAGCGUCAUUUGCAACCCUCAAGCCCGGCUUGUGUGAUGGGUGCCGUCCCCUACGGGACGCGCCCCGAAGGCAAUGGCGGCGUCGCGGUUAUCCGAUCAGCCAAAGUGUAUGGGGCUUUGUCACUCACUUUACGGCCCGGACCGGCGCCAGUCCGAAUCAAUCUUUUUUCUAAGUUGACCUCGGAUCAGGUAGGGAUACCCGCUGAACUUAAGCAUAUCAAUAAGCGGAGGA
rnacentral:misc_RNA from 1 species